rnacentral:rRNA from 1 species
UAACGCGUGGAUAACCUGCCAUAUACCGGGGGAUAACACUUAGAAAUAGGNGCUAAUACCGCAUAAGCGCACGGCUCCGCAUGGGGCAGUGUGAAAAACUCCGGUGGUAUACGAUGGAUCCGCGUCUGAUUAGCUAGUUGGCGGGGUAACGGCCCACCAAGGCAGCGAUCAGUAGCCGGCCUGAGAGGGUGGACGGCCACAUUGGGACUGAGACACGGCCCAAACUCCUACGGGAGGCAGCAGUGGGGAAUAUUGCACAAUGGGGGAAACCCUGAUGCAGCGACGCCGCGUGAGUGAAGAAGUAUCUCGGUACGUAAAGCUCUAUCAGCAGGGAAGAAAAUGACGGUACCUGACUAAGAAGCCCCGGCUAACUACGUGCCAGCAGCCGCGGUAAUACGUAGGGGGCAAGCGUUAUCCGGAUUUACUGGGNGUAAAGGGAGCGUAGACGGCAGCACAAGUCUGGAGUGAAAUCCCGGGGCUUAACCCCGGAACUGCUUUGGAAACUGUGCGGCUGGAGUGCAGGAGGGGUAAGCGGAAUUCCUAGUGUAGCGGUGAAAUGCGUAGAUAUUANGAGGAACGCCGGUGGCGAAGGCGGCUUACUGGACUGUAACUGACGUUGAGGCUCGAAAGCGUGGGGAGCAAACAGGAUUAGAUACCCUGGUAGUCCACGCCGUAAACGAUGAUUACUAGGUGU